UACGUAGGUGGCAAGCGUUGUCCGGAUUUACUGGGCGUAAAGAGCGCGCAGGCGGUCGUUCAAGUCGCGUGUGAAAGCCCCCGGCUCAACUGGGGAGGGUCACGCGAUACUGAUCGACUGGAAGGCAGGAGAGGGUAGUGGAAUUCCCGGUGUAGUGGUGAAAUGCGUAGAUAUCAAGUGGAACACCAGUGGCGAAGGCGAAUCCCUGGAAAAUACCUGACACUGAGGCACGAAAGCUAGGGGAGCAAACAGG
rnacentral:rRNA from 1 species